GAGAGGAAAUUUCGAACAAAAUUACGUAAAAUAUGUGGUCCCAACAUAAAAUACGAAAUGUUUAUUGGUAUGUGUGUUUGCCCUCUUAAUUAAGAGGCCAAAUUGAAAUAUCAAUAGUGAAAAAACGUCAAAGCAUACAUGUGUUGGUUUAAAAUUAUACGAAAUGUUUAUCUUAUACAAACUGAUGUUGGGACCACAUUUCGUCGUACAAAUUUCCUCUCUAGGUAUAAUUACUCUAAGGUCUAAAUACCGUUAAAAUAGAAUGACAAUGG